rnacentral:rRNA from 1 species
CUGGCGGCGUGCUUAACACAUGCAAGUCGAGCGAUGAAGCUCUUCGGAAGUGGAUUAGCGGCGGACGGGUGAGUAACACGUGGGUAACCUGCCUCAUAGAGGGGAAUAGCCUUCCGAAAGGAAGAUUAAUACCGCAUAAGAUUGUAAUAUCGCAUGAUAUAGCAAUUAAAGGAGCAAUCCGCUAUGAGAUGGACCCGCGUCGCAUUAGCUAGUUGGUGAGGUAACGGCUCACCAAGGCGACGAUGCGUAGCCGACCUGAGAGGGUGAUCGGCCACAUUGGGACUGAGACACGGCCCAGACUCCUACGGGAGGCAGCAGUGGGGAAUAUUGCACAAUGGGGGAAACCCUGAUGCAGCAAAACCGCCGCGUGAGUGAUGACGGUCUUCGGAUUGUAAAGCUCUGUCUUCAGGGACGAUAAUGACGGUACCUGAGGAGGAAGCCACGGCUAACUACGUGCCAGCAGCAGC